UAGCGUAUAUUAAAGUUGUUGCAGUUAAAAAGCUCGUAGUUGGAUUUCGGGACGGGCCAGUCGGUCCGCUGAAAGGUGUGUUUACUGACUGGUCUGUUCUUCUUCGCAGAGACUGCGUAUGCUCUUAAUUGAGUGUGCGUAGAAUUUGCGACGUUUACUUUGAAAAAAUUAGAGUGUUCAAAGCAGGCGUGACGCUUGAAUACAUGAGCAUGGAAUAAUGGAAUAGGACUUUGGUUCUAUUUUGUUGGUUUCUGGGACCGAAGUAAUGAUUAAGAGGGACAGUUGGGGGCAUUCGUAUUUCGUUGUC
rnacentral:rRNA from 1 species